rnacentral:lncRNA from 1 species
CUGAAGUGCAAGGAAGAACUGGAGAACAAUGCAAAGAAAGGAGAGGUAAAAAAUUAGCCUUUUUUUUUUUAAAGAAGAUCUUGUAAAGAAGAAAUAAAUCUUUAAAAAACUGAGUCUUCCCCUGACCCAAAUGGGUGAAAGGUGACAAUGCAGAAAAAAGCAUAUGCCCUAACUUUCUCUAUUCCUUCUUUACUUUUAGAGCUGGGAUGAGUCCCAUGGUACUGGUUCUGGUUACCUGACUGGCUGGGCAUAUCUCCUGUGGUCAAAUGAGCUAGUAGAAGCCAUAAUGACUUUCUUUUUCAGAGACAGAAGAAGCAGCUGUGUAUUCUGGUGCAGUGUGGAGAAAGGGUUGUUUAAUGUUUCUUCACCCUGAAGACAGCCCAAGAUUUUAGGAUCUCGCCUGGCAGCCUCUCACAAAAGCAUUAUGAGAGAGCAAAUAUUCCAAGUUGUUGGAGUAUUCAGCCAAUGAGAAGACAAUAAAAGCCAUGGACCCUCCCAGCGCUGUGCCCUACGCCCGCCUGGAGAUCCCCGACCUCGACUCCGUGCCCUCCUACAAGUACUGGUCCAUCUUCAACAUCCUGUGCUGCUGCCUGCCCCUGGGGCUGGUCGCUAUCUUCUACUCGGGACAGUGCUGUUUCUGGGGCUGAUCCAGAGCAUUGCUGAAGACCAGCAUCUCCCUGACUUCAAUAGGAGCCACAGGUCCUCAGCACUCUUGGAAACAAGCAGAGAGAUUGUGGAGGAGUGCCUAGCACGCAGAGACAUCACAGGAGCAAAGGCAGCCUCCAACACUGCAAGAACCAUCAACAUCCUCGCCGUGGUGAUCGGGCUGGCAUGCAUUAGUGUGACCAUAUUCUUUAUGAUCCAGAGAUUUGAGCUGCUCCAAGCAGCACAACCCACCCAGUUUCCCUUACAUUAUAAUUUCGGCUGA